rnacentral:rRNA from 1 species
AUUGAACGCUGGCGGCAGGCUUAACACAUGCAAGUCGAACGAGGCGGGGGGGGGUGAGAAAUGUCUGAGAAACUGCCUGAUGGAGGGGGAUAACUACUGGAAACGGUAGCUAAUACCGCAUACUAUGAGAUGUGCCCAGAUGGGAUUAGCUAGUAGGUGGGGUAAGGUCUCACCUAGGCGACGAUCCCUCGCUGGUAUGAGAGGAUGACCAGCCACACUGGAACUGAGACCCGGUCCAGACUCCUACGGGAGGCAGCAGUGGGGAAUAUUGCACAAUGGGCGCAAGCCUGAUGCAGCCAUGCCGCGUGUAUGAAGAAGGCCUUCGGGUUGUAAAGCACUUUCAGCGAGGAGGCGUUACUCGCAGAAGAAGCACCGGCUAACUCCGUGCCAGCAGCCGCGGUAAUAC